rnacentral:misc_RNA from 1 species
AUUUUAGGGCUGUUGGGUUCGUCUUUUUUUCUUUUUCUUUUUGGAGGGGCUUAAUCAAAUGAUGGCGAAGGGUGGGUUUUUUUGUCGAUAAGAUUCGGAGAUGUUUGAGGACGCUGUUCUUUAUGGUGGCGAUGUUGGCGUCACUCCUCGUGUCGUCGUUGCCAGUUCUUGUGGCCAUCGGAGACAUGCUGGUGCCUUGUAUUUUGAUCUCGAGUUUUA